CAAAAAAGGCAAAAGAUGGAUUUUAUAGGGAGCACCUGAAGGCAGCACAGCUAUUGCUGUCACUUCUAAAAAGCGCUGCAUGGUUGUUGCUUCGUUAGACAACUAACGUUACCCAAGUUCCCGUUGCGGAGGAUCUACAGCUCUGCUGGGUCGCAAUUUGUCGUCAUCGACUCCACCGGCCGGGGCAAGCCUCCGUACACCAGCCCGGGCCACUCAACGUAGCUUGAAUGCUAGGUUGCUAACACCGACCACAGCUAACGGUCUACAAUCGCAGAGAUUUGUGAAAUAAAAGUGGAAACUAACGAGCGGAGCAUAUGACAUUCCUCUGCCUCAGCCGAGGACCCACGGGAUGGAUUUCAAUUUAUGGGGGGGAAAUCUUUUUUCUUUCUUUUUUUCGUUUAUGCUCCGUUUUGAGGGAAAACCAAUGGAACAACAUGUUUACAACCAGAACUGACCUGGUAAAAUGUUUAUUUUGUCCAAUUUAUGGAGAGAGAAAUAAGUGACUGCUGAGCAGAGGUGCAAACUACACUUUUCUUUUAAUCUGACUUUUUCAUCAUGGAUUUUGACCUCCACAUCUACCGCUGUUCUUCACUGCAUCUUGAUGUUGACUCCCACAAGGAGAAUACUUCAUCAAGUAAAAGCUCUUCUUCAAAAACGGAAGUUUUGGGGGCCCACUAAUUUAACGAUCCACCACAGAUGCCUAGUUUCGGCUGAAUUGAACUGUUCUUCCCCAUUUUUAAGUUUGUGACGCUGUGACCCCACGUUUAUGCAACGCAAGUAGCACUUUCACUUCAGCAAACUAUCUGACAGCGCGUAGGGCUUCCUCAAGGCGAUGUCUCACCGAGCAGUAACCGCAGGGAAAUACCGUUACUCCAUGGCAGAUGCAAUUUGGGCUAAACCCUGACACACAAUAGAUACUACACGUGCAUGUAUUGUAGGCAUACGUGUCAUUUUCCUAAACCUAACCCAGUAGUGUUGAUGCCUAUAAGCUGAACCAGGGGAAAAUACCCGAAGCAUCCAUCAAAAACCUACUUUGUCCCUCCUCCUACCACCGCCUACUACUAUUACUACUACCGCUAAAUCAGAUGGCGCUUUCUGGCGGAAAACUAAAAGGAAGUACGAUAUAUUUAACUUGGCAGGUUGUAAAUGGCCAAUUAGGAAAUAGACACUCCAUUAUAUUGGGUGUAGGCCAAUAACUUUUGAGUUACGGUGCAGAGAAGAGUACACCAGGAACUAAAGUUUCUCUGGCGUGCAGAGCGCUAGCAAUGGUUGUCUUUAUGUCUAGUUUAGUAAAGAGUCACCUAACCAAAUGAUGGAAAGCCUUGUUCCCUUCUGUUGUAGUUCUGUUUUGGAAAACUCAUGACAUGAAUUACGUCUCUGUUUCAUUAAGUAAGACAAAUGUAAUACUUUUUGUGUUUUUAUUAUUAUUAAUAAUAUUGUUAUUAGCAGUGGCCGGCUAUGCUCUUUUACAACAAAUGCUAAAGUUACAUUUCCUCCUUAACUAACCAACAUCCUUCACGCUUUGUGUGUGUCUUUCGUUAUGUGGCUGCCCUUGAAUAGAGGCAACUUUUAAUUCAUCCCAACAAAAAAAGUAAAAGGAACUUCUGAUAAAUCCGGACUUUCCAUUACAGAAAACUAUCCGGCGUGACGGAUAAUGCGGUUUCUUUACCCUCCAGAGUCAUGGAAUCCAAUGGUAAAGAGAAACCUUUGAAUAAACUAGCGUCUGUACACAUACCACACACGCAGCCAGCCCACAACCAAGAAAAAAGACCCUCAGCAAACCACUAAUUCAAAUAGCUGCACAGGCUGGUCACUGUUAAGACUCUCUUUAGCUCCAGGCUAAAAGGCAGCAACAGGCGGUGUUUUGUAAUAGGCAAGAAAAAAAAUGAGAGGGAAAAUAUCAAUGUGACCUUUGGGAAAGGGCAAAUCAAAUUGCCAUUUAGCAUUCGUUAAGGAAGUGCACUAUAAAGCUCUCAAGUUGAGGAUGAUCAUGUAUUUUCUGUAUUACUUGAUCCGCAGUUCAGUCAUCACGAUAAAACAUGUACAACCACGUCUGAGCUGUUUAUCGCACAAUGUGUGAGAACAAAAACUCUGAUCGGCCUCAAUAAACGGGCAACAAAGUGGCAAA